rnacentral:lncRNA from 1 species
AUAUGGUCAACAGCGAGAAUAACUCUCCACAAUGUGAUGAUGUAGUGGGGAUGAAAAACAGCUUGGGGUUUCUUGUGUUUACGUGUCCUGGAGUCUCUCAGAAUGACAAACAGGAAGCGGUUGAGCAUGGAGCUACAGCAACAAGGAGUCAGCUCGCUAAACAUCAGCUGCCUUGGGUCAUGAUCAUACCGGCAAAGUAUCAGUGUGCAGUCUGCAUACAUUAUUUAUAUUGCAAUUAUGAUGUUUGCCGGUAAGUUUGACUUACACACUUUUCACGGUUAAAGCCAGCUGCACAGACACCAAAUAUAAAGAUGUAUUUAUUAUUUAAGUUUCUCAACUACCCGCUGAGGGUAUUCACAUUCAUGCUUAUGACAAGAGGUUUUUCCAAAGCCAUAGGGAAAGGCAUUUAUUAGUUCAUGUCUGUUAAGUUCAUUGGUAAUCAAACUCAUGAUCUUGGUAUUGUUAGCACUUUACGCUACACUUUAUCCAGGAAAGCACACAGAUGUACUGUUUUUAGCUGAUUCUUUUAUUUAUUUAUUUUUGCUGAAUUGUAUUAAAUCCAAUUAGAGUCUUGAUUUAACACAUUUGUUUUAAUUUAAUAGGCUAUAUAACUCUGUUCCCUAACUCCAGUUGGCACAAUACAUUCUACUCCUCAAAAGCAGUGUGAGCUUCUGGAAGGAAUGUAACAGCACAGAUCCAGCAAAAUCAGAGAUGAAACAUGGGCUUCAACUUCAUGUAACAGAAUUUCAGUAUGGUGUGGUUGCAAGUACUAAAUAAAUUGGCCAAUGAGACUGUAUAUCCAUCAAGUUGAAAUGAGCUCUUAGCGACUGGCUUUGAAAGGGAUGUUCUCAAUCUCUUCAAACUGGAACUCAUGGAAUACUUUCCCCCAGAGCAGGUGCUUCCGGAAACCUCAUCCAACGCAUGUGCUCCUAAUUGAAGAUCAUCUGCUGGACAGUAAACUCAAGACUCUAUGUAAAGAGAGAAUAAAAAAAUGUCUAUAGACUGUUAUCAGUUGUGAGCUUUUACAACUAAAACGUGGUAGAUGGAACACACCAGGGGCCUCAUUAUCAGGUUCAUACAUGGAUGUGUUUAAAAGGAGCCCCAAUUUAUCAUUCAAAACACAUUGUGGCCGGAGAAAUGAUAAUGUAUUAUCUGCCAUACAGCUAUGUGGCUCCACCACACAGGAAGGAAGGCAUCAAUAGGAUGGCCAACUAGGCAAAGGAUGUCCACAGAGACAGUAUGGAGCCAGAAAGACAUGCUUUAAAGUCUCUGUUUAUUAAUUCAAUAGAGUUAACCUUUUUUUUUUUUUCUUUUUUUUUUUUUUGAGUGCCAAAAAUCAUCUGAUCUCCCAGAAAGACACCAAAAAAUAUAAUAACAACGUAACAACACAUAACCUAUUAAAUGGCUCUUUGGAAUCCUUGAUUUUGAUUGGUUAAUUGUGGCAUUUAUUUGUGGCUUCUCAUGGCAAUGCUGUCCUUAAUCAGUUCAGAUGCCAUAUUAAAUUUAGCACAGAUGAAAAAAGGCUGUGAAGGACAGACUUGGUAUUCUUUGUAGAGGACUUUAGUAUCAAUAUUACAUAUAAUAAUAGUGUUGCAGCAUUCAUUUGGUUCUUGUCCAGUUGUUUUGUAAUUUUUUUAUGAAUUAUUUGUUUCUCAAUGGAAGCUUAAAAAUAAUACAGGUAAAAUAAUAUUUCAGGACAACAUAUUUAUUUAGAAUCAAAUGAUGAGUGAGCCCAGAACACUUUGUUGGUUUGUUGAAAUUUAACUCAGCAUUUAACUAAAAGGAACAAAUAAAUGAUUUGUAUGCGGGAAAGUCAAUAGAAUUAUCUACCGCUGUGUCUUUGAUGAUUUUAUAAUGCAAAACGGCAUACAGUUGGGGAAUAAAUAAAUGUUUAAUGGGUAAGAAAGAGGGAACGUAGGCUCGUAGGAAGACUAUGAAAACUAGAUACUUUUCUGUGAUCUUGAGUUUGAUCUGUCAACACAGAGUCAGAAUGAAAAUAAUAAACAGAACAAGAUAGAGUAGAGGAGGGAAAACAUUUCCAAUGAGAGAAAAAGAUACAGAGAGAGAAGAUCAAACAAAUAAACAUGACAUGGUGAAUAAGUAAUACUAAUACUUAUGAAAACAAAAGAGAAUUGUAUAUGAGGGAUCACAUGGUCAGAAUAAUUUAGUCUUUGCAAAGUCUUGGAUUUAAGUAAACACAUUCUGCCUUUACUGGUGUGACCUAUUCCUUUU